rnacentral:rRNA from 1 species
UACGGAGGGUGCAAGCGUUAUCCGGAUUCACUGGGUUUAAAGGGUGCGUAGGUGGGUCUGUAAGUCCGUGGUGAAAUCUCCGAGCUUAACUUGGAAACUGCCAUGGAUACUAUAGGUCUUGAAUACUGUGGAGGUCAGCGGAAUAUGUCAUGUAGCGGUGAAAUGCUUAGAUAUGACAUGGAACACCAAUUGCGAAGGCAGCUUACUACACAGUUAUUGACGCUGAGGCACGAAAGCGUGGGGAUCAAACAGG